GAUGAACGCUGACAGAAUGCUUAACACAUGCAAGUCUUUGGCGAAGCUGUGCUUGCACCGCCUAGCCAAGGCGGACGGGCGAGUAACGCGUAAGGAACUUGCCCUGCAGUCAGGGAUAACAGACGGAAACGACUGAUAAGACCUGGUAAAGUCAGGCGGACUCAUGUCCAGCCUGAUGAAAAGAGAUGCUGCAGGAGAGCCUUGCGUCCUAUUAGCUUGUUGGUGGGGUAACGGCCCACCAAGGCGGUGAUAGGUAGCCGGCCUGAGAGGGUGGACGGCCACAAGGGGACUGAGAUACGGCCCUUACUCCUACGGGAGGCAGCAGUGGGGAAUAUUGGACAAUGGGGGCAACCCUGAUCCAGCAAUUCUGUGUGCACGAUGAAGGUUUUCGGAUUGUAAAGUGCUUUCAGCAGGGAAGAAAAAAAUGACGGUACCUGCAGAAGAAGCGACGGCUAAAUACGUG
rnacentral:rRNA from 1 species